rnacentral:rRNA from 1 species
GAUGAACGCUGGCGGCAUGCUUAACACAUGCCAGUCGAACGGGAAGUGGUGUUUCCCGUGGCGAACGGGUGAGUAACGCGUAAGAACCUGCCCUUGGGAGGGGAACAACAACUGGAAACGGUUGCUAAUACCCCGUAGGCUGAGGAGCAAAAGGAGAAAUCCGCCCAAGGAGGGGCUCGCGUCUGAUUAGCUAGUUGGUGAGGUAAUAGCUUACCAAGGCGAUGAUCAGUAGCUGGUCCGAGAGGAUGAUCAGCCACACUGGGACUGAGACACGGCCCAGACUCCUACGGGAGGCAGCAGUGGGGAAUGUUCCGCAAUGGGCGAAAGCCUGACGGAGCAAUGCCGCGUGGAGGUGGAAGGCCUACGGGUCGUCAACUUCUUUUCUCGGAGAAGAAACAAUGACGGUAUCUGAGGAAUAAGCAUCGGCUAACUCUGUG